rnacentral:ncRNA from 1 species
CAGAGCAGAUGCUGUGCGUUAAGUGCCGGAAAAUGGGAGUAGAGUUUCCGGACGAAGAGCCGCUUUGCGGCUUGCGGUGCAGUUUUUCAUCCGCUGU